rnacentral:rRNA from 1 species
GAUGAACGCUGGCGGCGUGCCUAAUACAUGCAAGUCGAGCGAACGGACGAGAAGCUUGCUUCUCUGAUGUUAGCGGCGGACGGGUGAGUAACACGUGGAUAACCUACCUAUAAGACUGGGAUAACUUCGGGAAACCGGAGCUAAUACCGGAUGAUAUUUUGAACCGCAUGGUUCAAAAGUGAAAGACGGUCUUGCUGUCGCUUCUAGAUGGAUCCGCGCUUCAUUAGCUAGUUGGUAAGGUAGCGGCUUACCAAGGCAACGAUGGAUAGCCGACCUGAGAGGGUGACCGGCGACAGUGCUACUGAGGGAGGGACCAGACGGCAACGGGCGGCAGGAGGGGAGAACAUUGCAGAAUGGGCGGACGUGGGAUGCAGCGACGUCGGGUGCGGGAUGACGUUUUUUGGGGUGUAAACAGCUUUGGACGGUGACGAAGCGUGAGUGACGGUAAUUAAUAAAGAAGCACCGGCUAACUACGUG